rnacentral:rRNA from 1 species
GUCAAACCUUUGCAGUAAGAAGUAAUGUAGCACUUAAGCACACUCAAUUUUAUUUUAUGGUGAAAUAUACCUAUAAACUAAUACUAAUAUUUUGCAAUAAUACUUAAAUAUUGAAUUUAAACAGGGAUUAGAUACCCCUUUAUACAAUACUCUUACAAUUUGCUGAGCACUAAAGCUAUUAGAGCUAAAACUUAAACAAUCUGGCGGUAAUUUUAAUUUAGGGGAACUUACCUGUUAAUUGACAACCACCAAGGUGAAUAAACCACGGAAAAAUCUUGUAUGCCGCCGUCGUCAGGUAACACUUAUAGUAUUAUCACAAUAUAAAAACAUAAAAAGACAGGUCAAGGUGCAGACAAUUCCGUGGACAUGGCGAGUUACAAUUUAAAAUUUUAACGGCGCAGGUCGAGAAAAUGGCUGUUGUAAAGAGGGACUUAACAGUAAUAUAUAUUAAUUAUUCUAUAUGAAAUUUGAAAUUGUGCACAA